GACGAACGCUGGCGGCGUGCCUAAUACAUGCAAGUCGAACGCAGUUGCGAACGGGUGAUUAACGCGUAUGUACCUGCCUCAUAGCGGGGGAUAACUAUUGGAAACGAUAUCUCAUACCCCAUACUGUGUGCUGGACCUCCGUUGUAUUAGCUAGUUGGGGGGGUAAAGGGCCACCAAGGGGACGAUACAUAGCCGACCUGAGAGGGGGAUGGGCCACAAUGGGACUGAGACACGGCCCAGACUCCUACGGGAGGGAGCAGGAGGGAAUCUUCGGCAAUGGAGGGAAGGCUGACCGAGGAACGCCGCGGGAGGUAAGAAGGGUUUCGGAUCGGAAAGGUCUGUUGUGAGAGAAGCGGUAACUAAACAGAAAGGGACGGCUAACUACGUGCCAGCCGCCGCGGUAAUAC
rnacentral:rRNA from 1 species